CCUACGGGUGGCAGCAGUGGGGAAUAUUGCACAAUGGGGGAAACCCUGAUGGUGCGACGCCGCGUGGGGGAAUGAAGGUCUUCGGAUUUUAAACCUCUGUCAUGUGGGAGCAAAUUAAAAAGAUAGUACCACAAGAGGAAGAGACGGCUAACUCUGUGUCAGCCGCCGAGGUAAUCCAGAGGUCUCUGGCGUUGUUCGGAAUCACUGGGCGUAAAGCGUGCGUAGGCGGUUUCGUAAGUCGUGUGUGAAAGGUCCGGGCUCAACCCGCGGACGGCACAUGAUACUGCGAGACGAGAGUUAUGGAGGGGGAACCGGAAUUCUCGGUGUAGCAGUGAAAUGCGUAGAUAUCGAGAGGAACACUCGUGGCGAAGGCGGGUUCCUGGACAUUAACUGACGCUGAGGCACGAAGGCCAGGGGAGCGAAAGGGAUUAGAUACCCCUGUAGUC
rnacentral:rRNA from 1 species